UAGGCUUGCCUAGGUGCUUACUUCUUAGAGGGACUAUCGGUUUUUAGCCGAAGGAAGUUCGAGGUAAUAACAGGUCUGUGAUGCCCUUAGAUGUUCUGGGCCGCACGCGCGCUACACUGAUACGUGCAUCGAGCUUACAACCUAGGUCGAGAGGCCCGGGUAAUCUUUUCAAAUCGUAUCGUGCUGGGGAUAGAUCAUUGUAAUUAUUGAUCUUCAACGAGGAAUCCCUAGUAAGCGCGAGUCAUCAACUCGCACUGAUUACGUCCCUGCCCUUUGUACACACCGCCCGUCGCUGCUACCGAUUGAAUGCAUUAGUGAGCUUCAAGGACUGUCCUUCUGGGGGUUAAACCCUGGUUGGGUGGGAAUUGCCGCAAACUUGCGCAUUUAGAGGAAGCAAAAGUCGUAACAAGGUAUCCGUAGGUGAACCUGCGGAUGAAUCAUUAAACAUAUCCAAGUAUCAACCAACGCGCACUUGUUUUUGAGUGGAUUUCCUGUCUUUUUUCAAAGACUUGUCUGUUUCGGCCUGUGUGCUAUUUCUCGCAAGGGGAAUUGGCCCGGGAAGGGGCGGAUAGGAUGGAGAGAAGGGGGGGGCGGGAAUUGAAACUCAUACCUUAAAACCCAUUG
rnacentral:rRNA from 1 species